rnacentral:rRNA from 1 species
AGAUUGAACGCUGGCGGAAUGCUUUACACAUGCAAGUCGAACGGCAGCACGGGGGCAACCCUGGUGGCGAGUGGCGAACGGGUGAGUAAUACAUCGGAACGUGCCCAGUCGUGGGGGAUAACUACGCGAAAGCGUAGCUAAUACCGCAUACGAUCUACGGAUGAAAGCGGGGGAUCGCAAGACCUCGCGCGAUUGGAGCGGCCGAUGGCAGAUUAGGUGGUUGGUGGGGUAAAGGCUCACCAAGCCGUCGAUCUGUAGCUGGUCUGAGAGGACGACCAGCCACACUGGGACUGAGACACGGCCCAGACUCCUACGGGAGGCAGCAGUGGGGGAAUUUUGGACAAUGGGCGCAAGCCUGAUCCAGCCAUUCCGCGUGCAGGAUGAAGGCCCUCGGUUGUAAACUGCUUUUGUACGGAACGAAAAGCCUUCUUCUAAUACAGGAGGUCAUGACGGUACCGUAAGAAUAAGCACCGCUAACUACGUGCCAGCAGCCGCGUAA